AUUGAACGCUGGCGGCAUGCCUUACACAUGCAAGUCGAACGGCAGCACGGGGGCGAACCCUGGUGGCGAGUGGCGAACGGGUGAGUAAUGCAUCGGAACGUGCCCAGUAGUGGGGAGUAACUAGUCGAAAGAUUAGCUAAUACCGCAUACGACCUAUGGGUGGAAAGCGGGGGAGUCGCAAGACCUCGCGCUAUUGGAGCGGCCGAUGUCUGAUUAGCUAGUUGGCGGGGUAAAGGCCCACCAAGGCUUCGAUCAGUAGCUGGUCUGAGAGGACGACCAGCCACACUGGGACUGAGACACGGCCCAGACUCCUAC
rnacentral:rRNA from 1 species